rnacentral:rRNA from 1 species
AUUGAACGCUGGCGGCAUGCUUUACACAUGCAAGUCGAACGGCAGCGCGGGGCAACCUGGCGGCGAGUGGCGAACGGGUGAGUAAUAUAUCGGAACGUACCCAGAGGUGGGGGAUAACGUAGCGAAAGUUACGCUAAUACCGCAUACGAUCUACGGAUGAAAGUGGGGGACCUUCGGGCCUCAUGCUUGUGGAGCGGCCGAUAUCUGAUUAGCUAGUUGGUAGGGUAAAGGCCUACCAAGGCGACGAUCAGUAGCUGGUCUGAGAGGACGACCAGCCACACUGGGACUGAGACACGGCCCAGACUCCUACGGGAGGCAGCAGUGGGGAAUUUUGGACAAUGGGCGCAAGCCUGAUCCAGCAAUGCCGCGUGAGUGAAGAAGGCCUUCGGGUUGUAAAGCUCUUUUGUCAGGGAAGAAACGGUUGGGGCUAAUAUCUCCGGCUAAUGACGGUACCUGAAGAAUAAGCACCGGCUAACUACGUGCCAGCAGCCGCCGUAA